rnacentral:rRNA from 1 species
CAAGAGUGUGUAUGAUGAUUGAUGCAGUUAAAAAGUCCGUAGUUUAUUUUUAAGAAGCAAUAUGAGGUGUACUGUAUAGUUGGGAGAGAGAUGAAAUGUGACGACCCUGACUGGACGAACAGAAGCGAAAGCUGUACACUUGUAUGUAUUUUUUGAACAAGGACGUAAGCUGGAGGAUCGAAGAUGAUUAGAUACCAUUGUAGUUCCAGCAGUAAACUAUGCCGACGAUGUGAUAUGAGUAUUUGUAUUACAUAGUAGAAAUUAGAGUUUUUUGGCUCUGGGGAUAGUAUGAUCGCAAGAUUGAAAAUUAAAGAAAUUGAC